rnacentral:lncRNA from 1 species
UUUAAGUUUGAAAAUAUUAAAUUAAAAUCAAGAUUAUGAUUUGGAUAUAGAGUUUAUGUUUAGAAUUUAGGGUUUGAAAUAUAGCGUUAUGGAUUAAUUUUAGAAUGUAAAAUUUAUGUUUUGGAGUUUAUAAUUAUUUAAAUGUAGUGUUAUGAUAUAAAGUCUGGUCAUCAUUUUAAAAUUUUGUAUGUUUACACAGAAAUCUAAUUUAUAAUUCGGUUAUAAAUUUGUACGUUUGAUUCAAAAGUUUAAAAGUUUUAAGUUAAGAUUUUAUGGUUUGUAAAAAAAUUAUGAUUAAGAGUAAAGUUUACUUUUGUGAUUUAUGAUUUGGAUGUUGGAAUAUGAGGUUUAGGGUUAAAGUUUAAUAUUUUGGAUUAAAGUUAGAAAAUAAUAGAUUUGAAGACUAGAUAUAAGAUUAGUAGUUAAAUUUUUAAUAAUUUAGAUUUGAAAUUUAUAUUUAGAGUAUUGAAUGUAUAGUUUAUGUUUGAAGUUAGAAUUUAGAAUAUAUAUAGUUUGAUUUAAUAUUUAUGUUUAAGAAAUUAUAGUUUAAGAUUAAGAAGACUAAAAUUUGAGUUUAAUUUUAAGACUUGAUGUUAUAAUUUGAAAAGAUUAGAGUUUUAAGGGUUGUCUUUAGAUUUUUUAGGGUUAAAACUAUGUUUAGGAUUUAGG